rnacentral:piRNA from 1 species
UGGAUCUGCAGAAAUAACUGCCUGUGCAGUGU